rnacentral:misc_RNA from 1 species
CAGAAAUAAUAAUUUCAUUUGAACAUACACACCCUUCCUGUGCACUUUUGCGUGAGCAAAGUAAAGUGCCCCUAUUGAGUUAGGGGUAUUUGAAAUGCUUGCGAGUUCUAUUACAAUACACUCUGUGAUAUAAAGUUUGUUUGCAUGUGUUAUACAAUGUAUCUAUA